rnacentral:lncRNA from 1 species
ACAAAUUGGUCAUGGGAUGAAUUUUAUCCAAUUAAAGACAUUCAUUCAUUUUGGGAAAUGAAAUAUACAUUUCAUCAAUCCCCUAAAUCCAAUGAUUUUAAUCCAACAAAAGUCAAAUCAACCUUGACCAAGGCCCAAACAAAUAGUCAAACAUCAAAAGUCAAUAAAAAUGGCUCAACAUAAUUUUUACACAAUAAUCAAUUAAAAAU